rnacentral:lncRNA from 1 species
AGAUUUGUGGUGCGUUCUGAGCCGUCUGUCCUGCGCCAAGAUGCUUCAAAGUAUUAUUAAAAACAUAUGGAUCCCCAUGAAGCCCUACUACACCAAAGUUUACCAGGAGAUUUGGAUAGGAAUGGGGCUGAUGGGCUUCAUCGUUUAUAAAAUCCGGGCUGCUGGUACAUAAAAGAAGUAAGGCUUUGAAAGCUUCAGCGCCUGCUCCUGGUCAUCACUAACCAGAUUUACUUGGAGUACAUGUGAAAGAAAACGUCAGUCUGCCUGUAAAUUUCAGCAAGCCGUGUUAGAUGGGGAGCGUGGAACGUCACUGUACACUUGUAUAAGUACCGUUUACUUCAUGGCAUGAAUAAAUGGAUCUGUGAGAUGCACUGCUACCUGGUACUGCUUUCAGUGUGUUCCCCCUCAGCCCCUCCGGCGUGUCAGGCAUACUCUGAGUAGAUAAUUUGUCAUGCAGCGCAUGCAAUCAGAAUCUCACUGAGCCACCCAUCAUUGUGAAAUAAUUACCUCAGUUGUACAGGACUUGGUGAUCAGGAUCCAGGCACUCACUUGUAUUCUACUGCUCAAUAAACGUUUAUUAA